UACGUAGGGGGCGAGCGUUGUCCGGAUUUAUUGGGCGUAAAGAGCUCGUAGGCGGUUUGUCGCGUCUGCCGUGAAAGUCCGGGGCUCAACUCCGGAUCUGCGGUGGGUACGGGCAGACUAGAGUGAUGUAGGGGAGACUGGAAUUCCUGGGUGUAGCGGUGAAAUGCGCAGAUAUCAGGAGGAACACCGGUGGCGAAGGCGGGUCUCUGGGCCGAUACUGACGCUGAGGAGCGAAAGCCAGGGGAGCAAACGGG
rnacentral:rRNA from 1 species